rnacentral:rRNA from 1 species
UACGUAGGGUGCGAGCGUUAAUCGGAAUUACUGGGCGUAAAGCGUGCGCAGGCGGUUUGCUAAGACCGAUGUGAAAUCCCCGGGCUUAACCUGGGAACUGCAUUGGUGACUGGCAGGCUAGAGUAUGGCAGAGGGGGGUAGAAUUCCACGUGUAGCAGUGAAAUGCGUAGAGAUGUGGAGGAAUGACCGAUGGCGAAGGCAGCCCCCUGGGCCAAUACUGACGCUCAUGCA